CCUACGGGAGGCAGCAGUGGGGAAUAUUGGGCAAUGGGCGCAAGCCUGAACCAGCAACGUCGCGUGAAGGAAGAAGGCUCUAGGGUUGUAAACUUCUUUUUAUAGGGAAGAGAAGAAGACGGUACCUCUUGAAUAAGCUACGCCUAACUACGAGCCAGCAGCCGCGGCCAUACGUAGGGGGCAGGCGUUAUCCGGAUUUACUGGGUGUAAAGGGCGUGCAGACGGGAAGUCAAGUCAGAUGGGAAAUCCCGCGGCUCAACCGCGGAACUGCAUUUGAAACUGGUUUUCUUGAGUACCGGAGAGGUCAUCGGAAUUCGUGGUGUAGCGGUGAAAUGCUUAGAUAUAACGAAGAACACCAAUGGCGAAGGCGGAUGACUGGACGGCCACUGACGGUGAGGCGCGAAAGCGUGGGGAGCAAACAGGAUUAGAUACCCCAGUAGUC
rnacentral:rRNA from 1 species